GCCCCCCUGGAAGGAGAGAGCCUCGUCACCCGCGCUGCCGGGGGCCCAGGGGAGAGCCCAGGAGAUCAAGGACCCCGGAGGGGCUGUGUCCGGGGCCUCCCACCAGCCCCGGCGCCAGGUUCCAGCGCACACGGUGUGACCACGCAGCCCCAGGCCAGCCUUGCUCACCCCAAUGCCGUAGUCCCAGCCUUGCCCCUUGGGCUCUCGAGGCUGUACCCCUGUGCGAUGACAUACGGUCCCCCGGCUCAGGCUAUGGCUCCCCUGGACCUUGUUGGCGAUAACCCAGACCUGGAACGCAGACCCGUUGAAGCCCGGCCCCCAGCUCCAGUGGGACUGUGGGGAUGGCAACAGGGAGAGCAGAGCAAGGACCCGGAGCACCCCAAACCUGCCCUGGGCCUCGCCACCCCCACCCCAGGCACCCAGACCUGGUCCAGGGGCCCCACGGACACUUGGCGCACGUUGUUGGACACAUGCUCCCAGCUGGAGCCCUGCGGGUAGCUGGGCGUCACCCCCUGGCGAUACCACAGGUUUCCUGGGGAGAGAAGGGCCCAGAACGUUGGAAUGGGGCCGGAGACAGAGGGGGCCGGACCACACUUCCGGGGGCUCCUGCGUCCCCAGAGAGAAAGCAGCUCAGGCCGGAGCCGGCUCUGCCCUCUCCACGCUGCCCUCCACCUGAGCCGCAUGAUCGUCCCGCUGUGCCGGGCUGGCACCAUCGCGCUCUCUCUACGCAUGAGAAACUGAGGACAAGGAAUUCUUUAAACAAAUACAGAGAACAGGGCCUGGGCACAAAGCCCUGGUUCCAGUCCUGACUCUGCCCUCUCUUCACCUUGCUUUGCGACAACAGCCACGGAGCAGAAAAAGGAACUGGCGAGAUCCCUGUCCGAGGUGGCACAGGACCACCCUCGGCCCUGGCUGACUGGGUUCAAACCCCAGUCCUCGGAGGGCUGAGCGGCUCCACCUCUGAGGCUGAUUUCUCCUCUGAAAUGCCAGGGGCUGCUGGCGGCUCAGUGAGGCUGCAGCAGGGGGGGCCUCCACGCCUGCCCCCCACUGCCGGGGCUGCUGUCACCACGGGCUGGACACGCCCUCCCCCCCCCCCCGCCGAGCACCUGGGGGGCCUGGGUCCCGGUCCCCGGUGUGCCCUUCUCACGGGACCCCCCACGCACCUUCUUCUCCUCGUGGACCACAUAGUAGAUGAAAAGGAUGCUGUCCCGAGCCCCGUCGAGCCCCGUGAACUGCUCCAGGGCCACGCGGACGUCCACCCACUUGUGAGGCUUCCAGUCACACCACCACUGCAGGGCCCCCGUCUUCACCCACACCGACUGCGGCACGGGCCCCCAGCGCACGGGACAGAGUCACAAGCGGGCCCCGCGUGCACCCAGCUCUCCGACCUCCCGCAGUGACAGAGAUGGUGCUCUCGUACACCCGACAGGUGCCGAGCCCACAAGCCAGGGUCGUCUAUGCACAACCUCCUCGUUCUCAAACAGCCUGUGGCGGGGGGGGGCGGGCAGUGGCAGCAGCACUGUUACCCCACGCUCUAGACGGGGAAGCUGAGGCUCGGGAAGGUGCUGUGCCUGACCCAGUGUCACAAAGCUUGUCGACUGCCCACCUGCUCACCUGCUCCACCGCCUGCUCGUAGUGCCGGAAGUUCUCCAGCUCCCGCUUGGUCCUUUCCGUGAGCUGCUGGAAGAUCUGCUUCCGCCAGGCGGCGGUCUGGGCCGGCGUGAUGGACAGGGACAGCGUCUGCAUCGAGGGGGACAGGCCUGCAGGCCAGCGGAGCCUCAGAGCCAGGGCUUCUGUUUUUGUUUUUAACCAGCCUUUUCUGGCUGGAGAGCUAUGAGCUCUGUAAAAUGCCCCACAAGGGCGUGGGGGGGGGGCUCGGUCGCUUGGGCGUCCCACCCUUGAUUUCGGCUCAGGUCAUGAUCCCAGGGUUGUGGGACCGAGCCCCGCCUGUAAAAGGCCACCACUGCCAGGGCAGGGAGAGGGGAAGGGGCGCCCUGCCCUGCUGGUCUCCGAAAGCUGCUGAUAGGCUGGCUGGACCAGAGGGGACGUCCAGGCAGGACAUCGGGUCGGCUCCCCCAGCACGGAGCACCCUCUGGGGUGCUCGGCCCCCGGACACCUGUGCUCACCCGACUGGACGGUGAACCACUUGAGCACGGUGUGGGCCUCCACGGCGCAGUCUCCUCCUGACACCCAGGCCCAGAGGGGGUGGUCAUCAGCCCCGUAGGGCUCCUCCAAGGCCAGCGGGAGGAGCCCCAGCGAGGAGAGGCCAGUGGUCUCUGGAAAGCCAGCAGCCGAGCGGCUGGGUGCUCUCCUGGGCUCCUUCAGGUCAAUAUUGGUCCAGGGCAGUUCGGCCAGGGUGGAGGCCGGGCCAGGGCAAGGCUCAAGCCCCGGGGUCUGAAUGGCAGGGCCAGUGACCUCCUCCUCGCUGGGCUCUGUGGUCCUGCCGGUGCCUGAGCCUGGGGCCAAGCUGUCCCUGGGCUUCCCGGGACUGUCUCCAGACUCUGCAGGGCCAGGCUGGUCUGGACCUGGUCUCUCGGCUUCUGAGGAGGCGUCCGUGUCGCUCGGUGCACAGGACUCACCACUGCCCCUCACCUCGUCGCCGAAGAAGCAGCCGGCACUGGGAACAAAAAGGGCAGACCCGUGACCCCUUCGAGGGAGGAACACGCGCUGCCGUGGGCAGGCCUGGCUCGUUCGCCGUGACCCCGGGCGAGCCACAGCCACGCCGCCACACGCCACACACGAACAGCUACCUCCCACGGAACUGGAGCAGCCAGGUCACAUCCCAGGUCGAUCAAAUCAUUGGCAGUCCUAUUAUUUUCUCACUGUGGCAAAGCACCUGUGACGGAAUACUGACCGUCUCAAAUGAUGCGGCAUGCAAUCCAUGUGCAAUGUCAUGCGACCACGACUACCUAGUGCCAGAACUCUGUCGUCACCCCCACACGGAAGGCCCGUACCCAUUAAGGAGCCACACUCCAUACUCCUCUUUCCCUGCCCAAACCUCCAGGUUUAGGUAGAAGCGGUAUCAUACAACACGCGAUCUUUUGUGACUGGCCUCUCUUGCUUAGCACGAUGAUGUCACCGCUCACCCGUGUCGCGGCACAAAUCAGUACCACAUCCCUUUUACUGCUGAAAAAUAUCCUGCUGUAGGGAUAGGCCACAUCUUAUUCCUUUAUUCGUGGAUGGACUUUGGAGUUGUUUUCACCUUUCUGCUGUCGCGAAUAACGCUUCUAUAAACAUUCACAUCCAAA